UCUCCUACGGGGGGCAGCAGUGGGGAAUAUUGCACAAUGGGGGAAACCCUGAUGCAGCGACGCCGCGUGAGUGAAGAAGUAUUUCGGUAUGUAAAGCUCUAUCAGCAGGGAAGAUAAUGACGGUACCUGACUAAGAAGCUCCGGCUAACUACGUGCCAGCAGCCGCGGUAAUACGUAGGGAGCAAGCGUUAUCCGGAUUUAUUGGGUGUAAAGGGUGCGUAGACGGGAAGACAAGUUAGUUGUGAAAUCCCUCGGCUUAACUGAGGAACUGCAACUAAAACUAUUUUUCUUGAGUGUUGGAGAGG
rnacentral:rRNA from 1 species